CAAUAUACGUUUUAGUUUAUGUACAGAUACAACAGAGGAGUGAAAAAAAAGUGUCUGCAUUAAUGAAAUAUAUCACCAAGUUUUCUCUCCAAACUUCCAUUUCUUUUCUUUCAAAGAAAUGCUUCCAUCUCUUUCAUUUCAGUUGUUUGUUGACAUACACUUCAUUUCGGAAAGUAUAUGAACGAGUUUCAGGCCUGUAGAAAAACGAAAGAGAAAAGAGGGAAAACCAGAGGGAGGUACUGCCGAAUUUCAUCUAGACGAUGGAGGUGCUGAAGUAAACAAUCAGAAGAUAAAGAAUAUGAAGGGAAGAAGAAGAACACCAAGAAAUUUUAUGUGGUUCAGCCAAAGGGAGCCUACAUCCACGGAGAAUUCUUGAUCGAGGAACUACAACAACUAUUACAAGAUGAGUAAUCUUUAGCUAUCUAGAACUCUCAAUCUUUUUUCUCUCAUGUAUGUACAAGAAGUUUACAGAUGUAUUUAAAGACAACUUGUAUAACUAAUUUUUAACAACCUUUGAAGUUGUUUUUCAUAGCUUGUAAUAACAAUCUCCACCUUGAAAGAAAACUUCAAGUUAUUUCUUCAGUUUCUCUGUACUGAAUCUCUUCUUCUUUUAACCUUUGUCUCUCAGCUCAAACCCUAUGAUAUCGAGGCAUUUUUGAAGUUUGAGCUGAGUGACAGUCUUUGUCAAUAUGUCGGAGGCAUUCUUUGAGAAAAACGAAAGAGAAAAAAGGGAAAACCAGAGGGAGGUGCUGCCGAAUUUCGUUUAGACGAUGGAGGUGCUGAAGUAAACAAUCAGAAGAUAAAGAAGACGAAGGGAAGAAGAAGAACACCAAAAAAAUUUAUGUGGUUAGGCGCCAAAGGGAGCAUACAUCCACGGAGAAGCUGAUGAUUUCUUAAUCAGGGAGCUACAACAACUAUUACAAGAUGAGUAAUUUUUAGCUAUCUAGAUCUAUCAAUCUUUUUUCUCUCAUGUAUGUACAAGAAGUUUACAAAUGUAUUUAAAGACAACUUGUAUAACUAAUUUUUAACAACAUUUGAAGUUGUUUUUCAUAGUUAUAGUAA